rnacentral:rRNA from 1 species
CGGGAGGCAGCAGUGGGGAAUCUUGGACAAUGGGGGCAACCCUGAUCCAGCCAUGCCGCGUGAGUGAAGAAGGCCCUAGGGUCGUAAAACUCUUUCGCCUGUGAUGAUAAUGACAGUAGCAGGUAAAGAAACCCCGGCUAACUCCGUGCCAGCAGCCGCGGUAAUACGGAGGGGGUUAGCGUUGUUCGGAAUUACUGGGCGUAAAGCGCACGUAGGCGGAUUAGAAAGUUAGAGGUGAAAUCCCGGGGCUCAACCCCGGAACUGCCUUUAAAACUACUAGUCUAGAGUUCGAGAGAGGUGAGUGGAAUUCCGAGUGUAGAGGUGAAAUUCGUAGAUAUUCGGAGGAACACCAGUGGCGAAGGCGGCUCACUGGCUCGAUACUGACGCUGAGGUGCGAAAGUGUGGGGAGCAAACAGGACUAGAUACCCUGGUAGUCCACACCGUAAACGAUGAAUGCCAGUCGUCGGGUAGUAUACUAUUCGGUGACACACCUAACGGAUUAAGCAUUCCGCCUGGGGAGUACGGUCGCAAGAUUAAAACUCAAAUGAAUUGACGG